CAGGAGGCAAGCACAUCAACUGGCACAGCUGCAGCACUGCAAUGGAGAAUCCACAAAGAUGGACAGAUGACGAGCCGAAAAUAUCAUUUCUACCAAAGAUGUCUCAAGUUUUCUUCACUGGUGGAUAUUCUCAGUCUCGCUAUAAAAUAUUUGGACGAGGUGGAGAUGGAUCUAAUCGACUGGUUUUACUCUGUCUGGGCCUGCUGAACGUUUUUCUUCUGAUAGUUGCUGUUGUUAUUGGGAUUAACUGUGCCAAAGUCAAAGAGGGUUCCCUCCAUGUUUC